rnacentral:lncRNA from 1 species
ACUUGUACCGAUUGCUGAAACCAAAUUACAGGCCUGAUACCAAAUUCCCAUAUUUUCCUACGGACCCUCCAGGAGCGUCAAAUCACGGGUCCUGGUCCGUUUACCCAAAAUGUUGACCGAAGUCAAAUUUAUUUAUUUUAGAGCCAAAACUUAGCAAUUUUCAUAAAGUUUUACAUUUUAAGCUUUCUAGCUACGCUCCCGGACUCUACACUAAUCGAGAUAACU